UACUGAGGAACUAUCACAGAUUGGAGGAGACCAAGGGCACAUGACAGCUAAAUGCAACAUGAAAUCCUGGAUUGGAUCCUGAAAUAAUAAAAGAACAGCAGUGAGAAAACUGGGAAAUCCGAAUAAGGUUGAAGAAUGCUUCAUCUGAUAUAAAACAACUGGUUAAAAGUGAAACACACUUGGAUAUUACUGCUGAUCUCAGAAAGAAACUCCAUGGGGCUAAGAAAGAAAAAUUAGAAAUAACAGCUAAGCACAAUGCAGAGGCCCGUGACCAACUCUGGGUUCAGCCCUGCACUUUGAAGGGUAUGAAAGAAAUGUAAGAGAAGACCCUGCCAUCAAAGGACUUGGGAGACUCACCAUCUACUUUCUUCAUGGUCUGCCACCAUAUGGUGAUAAGGAAUAACCUUGAUUAGAAGGCACAGCCUCUGUGAAAGACCAGCAGGGUUAACUGUAAGUAGAGUCUGAAUCUUUGCAUAUUUUUAAAGUGGAAUAUACAUGGAAAUUAAGGUAAGUCAGUGCUGCUUAGGACAGUCAAGAUGGCUGAGGCAAAGGAAGAAAAGAAAUACAGACAGACCCUUUGACUGCUGACAGUUUUUGAAGGUAUAUGAACCAAACAGCACAUGAACCAAAAGAGCCCUUAUGUUCUACUUUCAAGUAGAAACAAAUCUGGCACUGAAGUUGAGGCAAGUGAAAAUUUCCCAAGAUCAAACAGCUGAAAAAGUGGCACUGGAUCGAGAGACACUCUGAGUGUUUUUUAAUGUAUUUUCAGCUGUUUGAAUUCUCGAUUGGAAUGAAAGACACAAGAGUGAAAAAUCUUAGAGCUGCAAAAAUGCUAAAAGGAGAAAGGAAUAAUCGGCUGCUACCAUCUUCGUCCUUAACAUCGCUCACAUGGACUCCUACAACAGCCAACUACCUGUACUGUCCAUUUUCACUUUUGCAACAAUUCACCCUUCACACAGCCUUCAAAACAAUCCUUUAAAAACGUACAUUUCUCCCUGCUAACAAACUUUCAAAUAGCUUUCCAUUACACUUUAAUGGCUUGUCUUCUUCAUCUUCAUCUAAUUCCAUGGCUGUCCUUUCUCAUUAUGCUCCAGUCACACUGGACUUUUUAAUUCAUUCCCAGAACACCGAAAGCUUUUUGCUUUACAGUUCCUUCUGUGUGUACCGUUCUCUCUUCAGCUCUUCAUACCUGCUCAUCUUUUAGCUUAAGUGUUAUUUCCAGAGGGAAGGUUUCCUUGCCUAGACUCUAAGUAGCCUCCUCAGGGUACUCUGUACCAUAACACCCCAUUUAUUGACUCCCAGAAAAUAUUCCAAAUUGUAAUUAUUUAAUUUAUACAUUUUUAUAUUACAUUGUUAUCUUUCUCCUCCAUUAACCAAUGGAGAGGUGCUGCCCAACAGAAGCUGUGACAUUUGGUAGAGGAAUGCAGCCUCUGUCCCAGCUGAGGCCUGGUAGAAAGGGAACAGGGUGAGUAAAUACACCACCACCACCACCCCACUCCUCAUUCCUUCUCAUCUUUUACCGGUUCCUUUUGACAGCCAGACCAGGGGGCAAGAGAAACUGGCCAAUGCAGUCUAUAGAGGUUGGCUUUCUGGGACACAUAGUGGGACAGAGAAGGGCUGAGGGGCAAAUGGAGCUGACUACCCAGCACAUAGUCUGAAAAUAGAACAAAGUGAAUUUAAUGGGAAUUCAAGAAGAAAAGUAUAGAGCAUACUGUGCAAAGUCUGUGAUCAAAGAAACAACAGGAAAAUAAAAUAUUUCCUGAACUGAAGAAAGAUUUGAGUCUAUGGAUCAAAAUACUCAUCAAAGAACAGAAAUGCAAAGGCUUUAAAAAAUGUGCUAUCCAUACUGAGCCUGUGCUCUAGAGCCUGUGAGCCACAACUACUGAGCCCGUGUGCCGCAACUACUGAAGCCCGCGCACCUAGAGCCCGUGCUCCACAAUGAGAGAAGCCACUUCAAUGAGAAGCCUGCGCACCGCAGCGAAGAGUAGCCCCCGCUCGCUGCAACUAGAGAAAGCCCACGUGCAGCAACGAAGACCCAA